rnacentral:rRNA from 2 species
GCGGAAGGAUCAUUGU